CCGGACCUACGUCGCUUCGCUCAGCCGCUCUCAUCCCCUCACCAGAAACCGCAGUGUGUCUCCCUCUCCUCUUCCCCACUCUCGCUCUUCACUGCGGCAGCGCCAUCAAUGGAGUUUGAUGGUUGUCGUCGGCCGUUUCUCCCUCACCCAACGCCCUCUCUCCUCCCUCUCUCUAUAAAACCCAACGCCGAGCCCUAGGGAUUCGGUUCCCGAUCAUCGAGCUCGAUCCCCACACCUCCUCCUCACUACUCACUGACCAGAGCGCCGGGGGAGCCCCUGCUCGCCAUUAAAGCCUUACCGCUGUCCGGAGUUUGUCGACGACCACCUGACGACGUCCUCUACUUCUCCUCGUCGACCCCCACCGCCGAAACCUGACCCCUUGGAUGACCCUCGCCGGUUCCCCCUGCUCACACGACAUCUCUAUGUAGAGAACGCAAGAACCAGAGGUUGAAGAAGUUGACUGUAUGGUAGAGAAACCGAAUUCAUUUGAGGAAAACCCGCGAACACUUUUGAGCAAGGCAAGUGGAUUCUCCCUCUGUAUUUCUUAUUGUACCCAAAUAAUACAUUCAAUAAGAUUUACUUUUGGAUAUGUGCAUAAUUUGAUGGGUUUUGUCUAAAUAGGAUUACCUAGAAAUACUGUCAUUAUUCCUUGUUUAACCUGAGAUCAAAGCUAUGUUUAGUAACUAUGCUACUGCUCAACUUUAUCAUCAUGCUGUCACUAUUGUAAGAUAAUAUUGUUCCUAAGAUGAAAUUUAUACUAUUGUUGUUAAUCUGAUGGUUAAACAAGAUUAUAUUGUAAUAAACUGAACAUGGAGUGACCACCUAGGAAAACAGUGCAACCACAAGUGCUAUCAUGGCUCUGGCUUUGGUAAAUAGCUUUAUAGACUUAGUGCUUAGCAACCUUACCUGAAAGAUGGGCAAGAGGGGGCGACAUUGGUUUGGUGGCGGCUCACAUUAACAUGGGGUGAUAGUCUUGGCUAAGGUGCCUCACCCAGAGGAUCACCAAUACUAACGUGGAAACCUUAGCGAUUGACUUUGUACUAAGGAUAUUUUGUGAAAGUCUCAUAGUGGAUCCCUAGCCAUUCACCUCGGCAGUGUUUAAGGGUCCGUACAACCCAGGCUAGAGGGGAUACAUGGCUUGUGGGUAAAGUUAUACCACCUUUGCAGAGUGUAAAACUGACAUAUCAACCGUGCUCAAGGUUAAGAGGAGCCUGGAUCCUCACAUGAUAAUCGAACUUAAAUAUGGAGAAUAAAUUGUGAUCCUUGGUUUAAAAGGAUUUGCUUAAGUGGUUUCAUUUAAGUGCUUUUGAGAUAUAAUCAUUAUGCUCAUGAUUAAUUGGGUUUUGGGAUACACUUAUAAUUAGUAAAUUAGGUGUUGUUAAUAAAAUACCGACCAACUAAAAUGCUUACUGCAUAACCAAUUUGCUGAGCCCCCACCAUAAGUGAGCUCACCCGCUAAAUUUUUUAUCAGAAGGUGAUGAUGAUGACUUUGAUGAAGAUCUUGAUGAGUAUUGAGUCUAGCGACGCCUCGGUCUUCUCCUUAGUUUACCUGAAUUCCUUUUGAUCUUAAGUGGGAGAAUGCUUUAGUUUUGUUAACAAUGCUUAUCAUAUGCUUCUUGUUUAUAUGGUGAUAAUGCAUAUUUAGUGCUUCUGUAGCUAAUUGACACUUUAAUAUUGAUAUCAUCUUGUGUUUGGUGUGUAGAUCGAUCAAUUGGUAUCUAUCGUGCUUGUUGUUUAUCUUGUGAUAGAUAUUCAUGUUGUUCUUGUAUUUAUGGCGCUUUAAAUUGGUAUCUUGAUGUUGAAUAGUGGUAGGUUCAUAUCCCUGUGGUAUAUCUGUUUAAUUGGUAUUUAACUCUGAUUUUGUGCAUUUGUGUGUCAUGCGCAUUACGGUUUAAUUCUUGACACUAUACACCCAACAGAUGAUAAGUUAUAGUAAUGCUUCACACUUAGCCUAAGUAUGUGUAGUUUGGCAUGUGAGGCCAAAGUUGAGAUUUUCACAUAAGCACAUAUUUAGGGGGAGCAUUCUAUAGCUUAGAAUUUAAAAUUGUGCUUUAAAUAUUAAUAUUGUGUAAGCUUUAAUUGUGUUGCCAUCAAUCACCAAAAAGGGGGAGAUUGAAAGCUCUCUUGUGGGUUUUCGAGGUUUGCAUGACAACCCAAUUAAAGGACUGACAAGCGUGUUAAGUGUUGGAUAGGUGUUUAGUGUAAAGCCUAUAAAGUUCAACACAGUGUAGAAAGACAUUGUUUAUGUGAGACUUGGUGUUCAUAUCUUGAAGACAACUGGUCAAGCCAAGGAUGGAAGCAAGAAGAGCUUCGAGGUACCGAGUGCACGGGAGAAAGUCAAGGAGGCCGAGGAACCCAAAGCCAGGGGUGAAGAAGAUGUCUUGACAAGUCAAGGUUGAUCGAGAUGAGAAGAGCUAUGGUGCAUCAAUGAUCACUACCUAAGAUCAUGACUUACAAAAAAUGAGGUAACAUCUAGUUAUGUGGUGUAAGUCAUAAGACUCAAGAUCAAGCUCAAGAUGAAAAACAAGGUCACUAUAAAAUAGAGCUCUGGUUGAGGUGAAAUAGAAAAGAUGUAAGAUAAUAUGAAAAGAGGUAAUCUUCUGGGACUUAUUCAACUAAACUAUACUCUAAAAGUAUUUGUCUAAGUCACAGGAAAGUCCUCCUAAAAGUUGAAGAUGAAUGGGGAAGAAAGAAGAGGAAAGCACACAAGUGUGCUGCUGUCUAGGUAUGACCGGACAGUCCGAUGCAUCUCACCGGAUAGUCCGGUGUGCACAUGACAGUCUGGUGUCCUAGACUACUAAAUGUCCGGCCUCAGGUGUCUCGGCUACAAAUGCCAGACAGUUUGGGCCCAUGCAUCAGAUAGUCCGGACCCAUGCGCAGACAGUCCGGGCCCAAUCAUUGGACAGUCCAGUGGUCCUUAGAGGCAACAGCUAGUUGACACGUUACCAGUGCCAACGAGAAGAUUGGUGCACCGAACAGUCUGGUGCCGGCACCAAACAGUACGGUGCCCCAUAGAAGCGAAAGGUGGCCCAAUCACAGAUUCUAUGACCGUUGGACGGAGGCGUAUCAGACAGUCCGAUGAUGGCACCGGACAGUCUAGUGCCCCUUCAGAGUGGCAUUUAUUCCCGAGGAUUGAAAUCUUCUUUGCAUGGAAAGGGGCAAUGGCUAGGGGCUCUUUUGGGGCUAUAAAAGGACCCCUAGGCAUCCUUUUGGUGUACACAAGUGCAGCCAACAAGUCCAUACAUCAUUGUGAUCAAUUCUUUGUCUACCUCUCUUGUAUAUUUCUCUAGUUUGUGUAGAGGCGCAGUUAUAAGCCUUUAGAGAGAGGGGAGAUGCUGCUGAGAGCAAGAGCAAGAUCUUGAGCGUUGUUACUCUGCUAGAGUGCUAUCAAGAAGACUGUAAGCAGUCGUUGCAUCGUUGUAACCAUCAUCGACAUAGUGGAAGUCUCUAUCUGUCACAUUGACAGAUCUGAACAAACGGAGGAAGGAGUUAAAGUAGACUCCAAGCCAAGGUGUGGCUAACUCCAACGAGGACUAGGCAAGUAUUUCAGGCUUGGUCGAACCUCGAGAUAAAUCCCUAUGUAUGUGUGAUCUGCUCUGUGUUGUGUUGUGUGAUGUCUCUCUAUCUUAAUUGCUUUUUAUACUUGCACUUCAAUACUUAUCUGUGGUACACGCUGUCUUUGAAGUGUAGGGUAUUUCGAGACAUGAACUUCAAUUCUGCUGCGACCUACUAGAAGGAUCUUUCAUUCCACUAUGAUCUAGUCUUUGAGUAGAGUGAUGAGGAAGACUUUGACGAAGAUCUUGAUGAGUACUGAGUGUAGCGACGCUUCGGUCAUCUUUCGGUGGGAGAUCACCCAUGUUAUUUCUGCUGUACUUUGAUUAAGAUACUGUUUAAGACUCUUAAGUCUGGAUGAUGUAAUAAAGUUAUUAUACUCUCUUUUACACCUUUAUUGUAUUGUCUUUUGAAUUUUGAUAUAUACACUUGUGACGUCAACCUAUGUGUGAAAA